rnacentral:rRNA from 1 species
UACAGGGGGGGCAAGCGUUGUUCGGAAUUACUGGGCGUAAAGGGUUUGUAGGUGGCUUGCUCAGUCAGACGUGAAAUCCCUCAGCUUAACUGGGGAACUGCGUCUGAUACUAGCGAGCUUGAGUGCAGGAGAGGAACGCGGAAUUCCAGGUGUAGCGGUGAAAUGCGUAGAUAUCUGGAGAAACACCGGUGGCGAAGGCGGCGUUCUGGACUGCAACUGACACUGAAAAACGAAAGCCAGGGGAGCAAACGGG